rnacentral:rRNA from 1 species
UACAGAGGUCUCAAGCGUUGUUCGGAUUCAUUGGGCGUAAAGCGUGCGCAGGCGGUUCGUUGUGUCCGUCGUGAAAGCCCCGGGCUUAACCUGGGAAUGGCAUUGGAAACUGGCGGGCUUGAGUGCGGCAGAGGGGGGUGGAAUUCCGCGUGUAGCAGUGAAAUGCGUAGAGAUGCGGAGGAACACCGAUGGCGAAGGCAGCCCCCUGGGUCGACACUGACGCUCAGGCACGAAAGCGUGGGGAGCAAACAGG